AGAGUUUGAUCCUGGCUCAGAGUGAACGCUGGCGGCAGGCCUAACACAUGCAAGUCGAGCGGCAGCGGGUCCUUCGGGAUGCCGGCGAGCGGCGGACGGGUGAGGAAUACAUCGGAAUCUGCCCUGUCGUGGGGGAUAACCUAGGGAAACUUAGGCUAAUACCGCAUACGACCCACGGGUGAAAGCGGGGGAUCGCAAGACCUCGCGCGACAGGAUGAGCCGAUGUCCGAUUAGCUAGUUGGCGGGGUAAAGGCCCACCAAGGCGACGAUCGGUAGCUGGUCUGAGAGGAUGAUCAGCCACACUGGGACUGAGACACGGCCCAGACUCCUACGGGAGGCAGCAGUGGGGAAUAUUGGACAAUGGGCGCAAGCCUGAUCCAGCCAUGCCGCGUGGGUGAAGAAGGCCUUCGGGUUGUAAAGCCCUUUUGUCCGGGAAGAAAUCGUCUGGGCUAAUACCCCGGGCGGAUGACGGUACCGGAAGAAUAAGCACCGGCUAACUUCGUG
rnacentral:rRNA from 1 species